UUAUAAUCUCCCCCACCUUUACCAUUACCUUCUUCACCUAUUCAAAAUCUCUUUACCGUCUGUUGGUGUAAUAUACCGCAAAUACAAAAUAUUACAGUUGAAAAUAAAAUGAUAAAAAUGAAUAAACAAAUCUUUAGGCUGGGACACGGAUAUCUCGCUCUCUUUAAGGAGAUUCAAGCCCAAUGCGGCAUAAUCUACACUGAUCCAGCAGUAAUACUCUUGACUUGUCCCCUCCAUGAUACAGCAGCCCAACAACGUCGUACAACUCAAACAACUCCGGAUCAGUUGAAGAGUCCAAGCUCCACAAAAGAACAUCUUCCUUCAACAUAUAAAUACUCUCUUGUAUAUAGUGAAUAUAGUUGAAGACUUAGAAUAUUUUUCUAUGUCUCAACUCUCUUUCACUACUACACAUUAAAAAUAUUAUAUCACACUUCUCAUCUUUUUGAGAUUAUUUCACUUCUUACUUGGGAUACUUCACAAAGGGAGAAACACUACUAUUUAUAGGUGAAGAAGUCUUCCAUAUAAUCAAUGGGUGGAAUGAGGGGUAGUAAUGUGGGAAGAUGUUACAUGAGUUACAAGAAACUAAUGGUCAUAUGAGUUACAAGAAACUAAUGACCAUGAGAGUUACAACAACUAAUGAUCAUAUGAGUUACAA
rnacentral:lncRNA from 1 species